rnacentral:tRNA from 1 species
UCUUCAUUGGUCUAGUGGUCAUGAUUUCCGCUUGUCAAGAGAAAUUUCGUCGAGCGCGGGAGACCAGGGUUCGAUUCCCUGAUGGAGAG